UGCCCCCGGGGUCCCCAGUCGGCUUCUAGAGGACUGCGUGCAUGAAAUUCAUCUACACCCACCUCGACGAAAAUGUCCAAACCCGCUCCGCCAUCCUGAAUACUCUGUACGCGUACAGUGUAUUUUUAAAAGUAAAGGCAGAGGCAGAAUCUGUUCUUUGUCCACACACCGUCGGAGCAAUGCCCAACACAAAGCUGGCCAUCAAUCCUUUCUCGUUGAAGAGGCGAAUGAGGUGAACAAGCAAAUGAGCAGGAACCUGUAGCAACAUCAGCAUUUAAUUCAAGAAACCUUAUCUUGUGCGUCAAGAUCAGAGAUAAAGAUAAUUCCUUUCUCCAUCCUUUCCAAAUGCACAGGAAUCUUUUUAAUGGCCACAGAAGCCACUUGCCAGUCUUACAGCUCAAAGACCCAGGGGGCAUCUCUUUGUGUGUGAUCAUCUAGGAAGGUGACGCCCCAGCUUCCAGUUUUCCUUUUGGGGGAGAUGCGCCUAACUUCACCUGACUCCACAUCGUGGAACCCACCUGACAUAAACGAGUUAUCCACUUAGGUGCCCAAGAGAGAUGCUUUCUGUCUUUGCAGCCCCUCCAGCUGGUUGCCUGUGAUGCUCACACAUUCUGGUUUAACGCUGUUCAGUAAUAAACCUGUUUUCUUUCUCUUC